ensembl:rRNA 5S_rRNA 5S ribosomal RNA
GCUUACGGCCAUACCAACCUGGCGAUGCCCGAUCUCGUCUGAUCUCGGAAGCUAAGCAGGUUUGGGCCUGGUUAGUACUUGGAUGGGAGACCGCCUGGGAAUACCAGGUGCUGUAAGCU